UACGUAGGGACCGAGCGUUGUCCGGAAUCAUUGGGCGUAAAGAGCGUGUAGGCGGCCACUUAAGUCCUGCGUGAAAUCUUGCGGCUCAACCGCAAGCGGUCGUGGGGAAAACUGGGGUGGCUAGAGUGCGGGGAGAGGAGAGUGGAAUUCCUGGUGUAGCGGUGGAAUGCGCAGAUAUCAGGAAGAACACCCGUGGCGAAAGGCGGCUCUCUGGGAAACGCAAACUGACGCUGAGACGCGAAAAGCGUGGGGGGAGCAAAACAGG
rnacentral:rRNA from 1 species